rnacentral:rRNA from 1 species
UACGGAGGGUGCAAGCGUUAUCCGGAUUCACUGGGUUUAAAGGGUGCGUAGGUGGGCAAGUAAGUCAGUGGUGAAAUCUCCGGGCUUAACCCGGAAACUGCCAUUGAUACUAUUUGUCUUGAAUACUGUGGAGGUCAGCGGAAUAUGUCAUGUAGCGGUGAAAUGCUUAGAUAUGACAUAGAACACCAAUUGCGAAGGCAGCUGGCUACACAAAUAUUGACACUGAGGCACGAAAAGCGUGGGGAUCAAACAGGG